GAUGAACGCUGGCGGCGUGCCUAAUACAUGCAAGUCGAGCGAACGGACGAGAAGCUUGCUUCUCUGAUGUUAGCGGCGGACGGGUGAGUAACACGUGGAUAACCUACCUAUAAGACUGGGAUAACUUCGGGAAACCGGAGCUAAUACCGGAUAAUAUUUUGAACCGCAUGGUUCAAAAGUGAAAGACGGUCUUGCUGUCACUUAUAGAUGGAUCCGCGCUGCGUUAGCUAGUUGGUAAGGUAACGGCUUACCAAGGCAACGAUGCAUAGCCGACCUGAGAGGGUGAUCGGCCACACUAGAACUGAGACACGGUCCAGGCUCCUACGGGAGGCAGCAGUAGGGAAUCUUCCGCAAUGGGCGAAAGCCUGACGGAGCAACGCCGCGUGAGUGAUGAAGGUCUUCGGAUCGUAAAACUCUGUUAUUAGGGAAGAACAUAUGUGUAAGUAACUGUGCACAUCUUGACGGUACCUAAUCAGAAAGCCACGGCUAACUACGUG
rnacentral:rRNA from 1 species